AAAGAAAGAGGGAGGAAGGUUGAACACAUGCAAGUCGAACGAGACCUUCGGGUCUAGUGGCGCACGGGUGCGUAACGCGUGGGAACCUGCCCUUAGGUUCGGAAUAACUCCCCGAAAGGGGUGCUAAUACCGGAUAAUGUCUUCGGACCAAAGAUUUAUCGCCUUUGGAUGGGCCCGCGUUGGAUUAGCUAGUUGGUAGGGUAAAAGCCUACCAAGGCGACGAUCCAUAGCUGGUCUGAGAGGAUGAUCAGCCACACUGGGACUGAGACACGGCCCAGACUCCUACGGGAGGCAGCAGUGGGGAAUAUUGGACAAUGGGCGAAAGCCUGAUCCAGCAAUGCCGCGUGAGUGAUGAAGGCCUUAGGGUUGUAAAGCUCUUUUACCCGGGAUGAUAAUGACAGUACCGGGAGAAUAAGCUCCGGCUAACUCCGUG
rnacentral:rRNA from 1 species